rnacentral:rRNA from 1 species
GACGAACGCUGGCGGCGUGCCUAAUACAUGCAAGUAGAACGCUGAAGGAGGAGCUUGCUUCUCUGGAUGAGUUGCGAACGGGUGAGUAACGCGUAGGUAACCUGCCUGGUAGCGGGGGAUAACUAUUGAAAACGAUAGCUAAUACCGCAUAAUAGUAGAUGUUGCAUGACAUUUGCUUAAAAGGUGCAAUUGCAUCACUACCAGAUGGACCUGCGUUGUAUUAGCUAGUUGGUGGGGUAACGGCUCACCGAGGCGACGAUACAUAGCCGACCUGAGAGGGUGAGCGGCCACACUGGGACUGAGACACGGCCCAGACUCCUACGGGAGGCAGCAGUAGGGAAUCUUCGGCAAUGGACGGAAGUCUGACCGAGCAACGCCGCGUGAGUGAAGAAGGUUUUCGGAUCGUAAAGCUCUGUUGUAAGAGAAGAACGAGUGUGAGAGUGGAAAGUUCACACUGUGACGGUAUCUUACCAGAAAGGGACGGCUAACUACGUG